UGGGGAAUAUUGCACAAUGGGCGAAAGCCUGAUGCAGCAACGCCGCGUGAGCGAUGAAGGCCUUCGGGUCGUAAAGCUCUGUCCUCAAGGAAGAUAAUGACGGUAGCCAAGGAGGAAGCCCCGGCUAACUACGUGCCAGCAGCCGCGGUAAUACGUAGGGGGCGAGCGUUGUCCGGAUUUACUGGGCGUAAAGGGUGAGUAGGCGGUUGUAUAAGUCAGAUGUAAAAGGCGUAGGCUCAACUUACGUAAGCAUUUGAAACUGUACAACUUGAGUGCAGGAGAGGUAAGUGGAAUUCCUAGUGUAGCGGUGAAAUGCGUAGAUAUUAGGAGGAACACCAGUGGCGAAGGCGACUUACUGGACUGUAACUGACGCUGAGUCACGAAAGCGUGGGUAGCAAACAGG
rnacentral:rRNA from 1 species